ensembl:lncRNA
GUAUCCUUCUGCUCUACUGACUUCUGGCUCUUCUGCUGAGAGCUCAGUCCUUUGCAAUUUCCAAGCUAGGUGACUGAGGGCAUUUCUCAUUUCCAUUUACCUGAUAACUGCUCACUUCCAUUCAAAUGACCCUCACAGCCCAAUCUGUUUCCAGCUUGUCACCUGUUAUCUUGCACCAAUCAGUCUUAAGUCCAUUCACAAUCUUUGCAUGGUUAAUGAGCCAUUGCAUACACAGUUCCUCUCGUAUGAUUAGGACCAUAUUUCACUGACCAUAUCCACUGUGCCCAAAACACUGCAGAUGUUUUUCAGAUACAGGAUUAAAUCCUUUUCCAAAGAACAUACAGUUGAAAUACCACCAAAAACCAAGUCAACAAGUGACACUGUUGCUCCUCAUCUCUCAGUGCACUGUUUCCUUCUGCUGUACUUGGCCAUCACCUUUGCCUUAAGACUUCCACAAAUGAUUUUAUGAUGUUUAACAGUGCAUCUAAUGGCAUGCAUCAGGUAUCCCUUUGCUCAGUAUUUGGCCACAAUCCAUUCCACUAUCAACAAUCACCCAUUCACUCUCUCUUUGGUAUUUCACCUCUUAUUAAAGGAUAACCUCCUUUCUUUCACACGUGAAUUUCCAAUUGUUUGUCUUUCCCUUACAAACUUCAAUGGCUUCUCUCACCAUGAAUGGCUCAUCAUCUUUAAUUUGUUCAUGCUACAUCUCCCUGGAUGAUGGAGCAGUUUAUAACUCUCUAUUUCAUAGCUAGAGAGCUGUGAGAUUAAUGCCUUGCCGAGGCCAUACAAGAAAUACAUAACAAAGCUGAGUAUUUCAUCUCUCCUAUCCCCUAACAUCAGCCUCCUAAUAUCACCACCAAUGAGCAUGCAAAAGUUUGACUGCUGCAUUCCUACAAAGGAAAUCCUUUCAUGCAGUGCCUUUUUGUUUGCUGGUUUUUUAAAUGGAAAUAGAUCAUUUUUUUUGUCUGAAAUAAAUUUAUCUCUGAGGUGAACUGCCAAGAAAUAUAGAAAAUACAGCUUAUUUUCUUUUAGACCCUAGCCCUAGUCUACUGGAUUGAAGACUGUCAUUGAUCUCAGCAGGAACCUGUGCAGACCCUUACCUGGCAUACAAAUGAUGCAGCAGAACAUAAAGCAGCAGAACAGUAAAAGGGUAUCCUCCCCCAAACUCAAUUCUGAACUGUGCUUUUAGGGAGGUGUUCUGAAAAUAUUCUCUGAACAUUGUGGCUCUUAGACUUGGGCUAGCUACUUUUCAUGGCAUUAUACAAGAGAUAAUCCAAACCCAGAGAUUUAAAAGCUUGUAAAUCCAUAAAAAUAACUCCUUUUUUUUUUUUUUUUCCCCACUCAGGUGACACCAACUUCCAGCAUUUAAUUAAGAUGCUCUCAAGGUGCUACAUGAACUGUGCAGGGAACUCAGAUUUACAAAUCUCAAUGUUCUAAAUUGUACCUAAAACUAGAUGCUGAAAUAUCAGUGACUUAAUAGUCUUGUCAGCAGGACUGCACACCUGGGUUAGCAGCAGUAUUUACCAAAAUCCUGCUAGUUAGAGCAGCAGCAUCUCCACACUUGUGUGAGUAAUUCACUCAUACCCAAAGAACAUUAUGAUAAUGAGCUUCUCCAUAAAACAGCAAUUUGCAGUAUUACCUAAAGUGGCAUCUAAGGCCCAACAACUACAUUGGUUUCAAAGCACACCUACAUUGACACUGGGAGG